rnacentral:rRNA from 1 species
GUCCACGCCUAACGAUGUCAACUAGGUGUUGGAGGUAAACCUUAGUACCGUAGCUAACGCGAGAAGUUGACCGCCUGGGAGUACGGCCGCAAGGUUAACUCAAGGAAUUGACGGGACCCGCACAAGCGGUGGAUGAUGUGGAUUAAUUCGAUGCAACGCGAAACCUUACCUACCCUUGACAUGUCAGGAACUUGCCAGAGAUGGCUUGGUGCCCGAAAGGGAACCUGAACACAGGUGCUGCAUGGCUGUCGU